GACGAACGCUGGCGGCGCGCCUAACACAUGCAAGUCGAACGGAGCUUGCCUGUCAGAUCCUUUCGGGGUGACGACUUGUAAGCUUAGUGGCGAACGGGUGAGUAACACGUGAGUAACCUGCCUCGGAGUGGGGAAUAACAGUUGGAAACAGCUGCUAAUACCGCAUGAUGCAACGGAAUCGCAUGACUCUGUUGCCAAAGAUUUAUCGCUCUGAGAUGGCCUCGCGUCUGAUUAGCUAGUUGGCGGGGUAACGGCCCACCAAGGCGACGAUCAGUAGCCGGACUGAGAGGUUGGCCGGCCACAUUGGGACUGAGACACGGCCCAG
rnacentral:rRNA from 1 species